rnacentral:lncRNA from 1 species
CAAAUCAACAAAUAAUACCAACACAUAACAGAGAUAAUGAAAAUUGCGAUAUAGCAGACAAAAGGGAAUACGAAGUAAACUUAGAUAAGAAAUACUUCCUCAUAAACUUCUCUUGCUUCCGAGAAACCUGAAAAAUCCAGUGAUAUGCUUAGAAAUGCUUGCCAAAGAAGCCGAGAUCACAUGAAAAGACCAGAAAUGGAAAUUACACUAUU